UAUGUAUUUAUUUUGGGGCGUGACAAUAUUUUUGUACAAAUAUUUUAUUUUUUAAGUGCAUCUAGAUUAGACGCAUCUAAUACACCAAAGAACCCCCCUCCCCCCAAAAAGAAAAAAAAUUGAAAAACAAAAAUUCUCAAAAGCAAUUCAUAAACUAAACCAAAGAAGGUGAAAGUUUUUCAUUAUGAUUCUUGAUCAUUUUAAAAACUUUGGAGGUUAUCUUUCACAAAAAUUUUGUACUCUUGUUGGUUGAUUCUGUUCUGUGGAUCGAGCUCUAUGUAUAGGAUUCAUCUCAAACAAUGAAAUACAAAGAAGUGUAGAAAGUAUAUAGAAUGAAUUUUUGUGAUCAAGGCAUAUGUACAAAGAAUGUGAUUCCUCUCCAUCUAUACAAAUAAUGCUAUUUUGUAGGUCAAGCUAUUUAGUGUAGGAAACAGAAGGUGGUAUAUAAUAAAAAUUAAACAAAGUUCACCAGGUAGCGUAUGUGAGGCAUUGAGUAUUAUAUUGCAAAGGUGAAAAUUAUUCAUAAACUCCAAUAGUAAUUGUGUAAGAUGUCAUUGCAACAGCAUUGUACAUAUGAUUAGAGGUUGUUUGCUUUCUGCUUUAUGCAAUUGAAGGAAUAAUCUUUCUAUCUCUCCAUUAUUAUUUCUAGAACCAUUUGUAGGUUUUUUAUUUUUUAUUUUUUAUGUAGAAAGUAUGUGUGCUUACUAAUUAUGGAUUAUAAUAUUUUAAUUAAUAAUGAUCAUGAUGGACUAUACUAUGCUGGAACAUUUAACAAAUGAUCUUUUGCAACUGUAUUAGUCACUAAAUUUCUCUUCUCCAACGAUAUUGUUUUUCCACACUCAAACGGAGAACAGCUAUGAAACAUGUGGACCUAGGAGGGAUAUAACGGAUGUACCAUAGUUAAUUAUUGUACGUUACAAAAGGAAUGCUACCGAAGAUAGUAUUAAAAUUGAGGGGAAAAAAGCCAAAAAACAUGUUGAAGGCAUUUCUGAAUGACGGUGUGGAUCCUGCAUCACAACUUCUUGUGAGGUACAAUGGUUCUGAAGAAAGUUCAGAGGUUUGGCCUUCGAUCUGUUGUGAGAUGGAUUUUACUACAUGUUUCAAUUAUUGAGAUAUGUUUCACUCUGUAUUGAGCAGUUAAUGCAAAUGCAACAUUCUUUGUGGUUUAGUGCACCUUUUCACGUUGAGUUGUUUCUAUUUUAUUUGGUUGGCAGAUCAUCAAGUGGAUCUCUCAAAUAAUCGAAGAUGGUAACUCUAGGGAGCUCCCCUUUUUUAGAACAAAAACUCCUGCACUUGUUCCUGAAGAUGCAGAUCCUAUUUGGUAAGUAGGUGUCAAAUCAUUCUAUCCAAAGGGAUAGGAAUGAAACAAAGAAUUGGUAGCAUCAUGAAUGGAAUCCACAAUCGUGUGGGAGAUCCAAGGAUUGGCCCAGUCUUCCUCUUGGAAGCAUUGAUGUCUUUUGGUAGCAUCUGGCUACGAAGGAGCCAAUCAACUCGCCCAAGUCAAUCAAAUAAUCAAACUUAACUGAGCAAAAAAAUGAUCAAGAUAGACCAAAUCAGAGACACAAGAAGAGAGCGGUGUCAAACCAAGAUCGUCCUCCUUCCAUCACUGACAUAGAACCAAAAGAAGCUUACCAGAUGCCACCAUCAGAUUCUGAUUCCGAGUAAUAGAUGGUGUUCAAAGGAAUCGCGGUUUGACAUUAAGCAAAUUAAGCACAUGGAGUUCUCGAAGUAAAGAUCAAAGUUUUAUCUCCAUUGUGAUUAUACUGAUUUGCUCACAGGGUGUUACAAGUAACUAACAAAUGGCUGCCCAACAUAUGUACAUUGAUCAUAUAGAAAUUAUACCAUGAAUUUUGGGAACCUGUUUGAAUUGAUAGUUUGUCCGUUUUAGUCUCAAUGUGUGACUAAACCAUAACUUUGGGAUAAUUUUCGAUUUACUAACAAUUGUGUUACCUCCAGAAGCUGCUUUACCUUUCUUAUUUGGGAAA